rnacentral:rRNA from 1 species
CCUACGGGUGGCAGCAGUGGGGAAUAUUGCGCCAUGGGCGAAAGCCUGACGCAGCGACGCCGCGUGAGGGAUGAAGGUCUUCGGAUCGUAAACCUCUGUCAGCAGGGAAGAACGGUCACUGUGCUAAUCAGCAGUGAAUUGACGGUACCUGCAAAGGAAGGACCGGCUAACACCGUGCCAGCAGCCGCGGUCAUACGGAGGGUGCGAGCGUUAAUCGGAAUUACUGGGCGUAAAGCGCUCGUAGGCGGUAUGUCAAGUCAAGGGUGAAAUCCCCGCGCUCAACGUGGGAACUGCCUUUGAAACUGGCGAACUUGAGUGUGUGAGAGGAUAGUGGAAUUCCAGGUGUAGGAGUGAAAUCCGUAGAUAUCUGGAGGAACAUCAGUGGCGAAGGCGACUAUCUGGCACAUAACUGACGCUGAGGAGCGAAAGCGUGGGUAGCAAACAGGAUUAGAUACCCGGGUAGUC